rnacentral:rRNA from 1 species
UACGGGGGGGGGCAAGCGUUGUUCGGAAUUACUGGGCGUAAAGGGCUCGUAGGCGGCCAACUAAGUCGGAUGUGAAAUCCCCAAGCUUAACUUGGGAACUGCAUCCGAUACUGGAUGGCUUGAGGACUGGAGAGGAGACUGGAAUUUACGGUGUAGCGGUGAAAUGCGUAGAUAUCGUAAGGAAGACCAGUGGCGAAGGCGGGUCUCUGGACAGUUCCUGACGCUGAGGCACGAAGGCUAGGGGGAGCAAACGGG